GAUGAACGCUGGCGGCGUGCCUAAUACAUGCAAGUCGAGCGAACAGACGAGGAGCUUGCUCCUCUGACGCUAGCGGCGGACGGGUGAGUAACACGUGGAUAACCUACCUAUAAGACUGGGAUAACUUCGGGAAACCGGAGCUAAUACCGGAUAACAUGUUGAACCGCAUGGUUCAACAGUGAAAGACGGUCUUGCUGUCACUUAUAGAUGGAUCCGCGCCGCAUUAGCUAGUUGGUAAGGUAACGGCUUACCAAGGCAACGAUGCGUAGCCGACCUGAGAGGGUGAUCGGCCACACUGGAACUGAGACACGGUCCAGACUCCUACGGGAGGCAGCAGUAGGGAAUCUUCCGCAAUGGGCGAAAGCCUGACGGAGCAACGCCGCGUGAGUGAUGAAGGUCUUCGGAUCGUAAAACUCUGUUAUUAGGGAAGAACAAAUGUGUAAGUAACUAUGCACGUCUUGACGGUACCUAAUCAGAAAGCCACGGCUAACUACGUG
rnacentral:rRNA from 1 species